rnacentral:hammerhead_ribozyme from 1 species
AUCCAGCUGACAAGUCCCAAACAGGACGAAAUGCGCGUCCUGGAU